rnacentral:rRNA from 1 species
AACGAACGUUGGCGGCGUGGAUGAGGCAUGCAAGUCGAACGCGAAAGCCGCAAGGCGAGUAAAGUGGCGGACGGGCGAGUAACACGUAAUCAAGCUACCUGCGAGACGGGGAUAACUUCGGGAAACCGAAGCUAAGACCCGAUGGUCUUCUAGGAACGCAUGUUCCAUGAAGUAAAUGGGCGGGAUCCUCCGGGAUCGCCUGCUCGCAGAGGUGAUUGCGGCCCAUCAGCUAGUUGGUAGGGUAAUGGCCUACCAAGGCAACGACGGGUAGCCGGCCUUAGAGGGUGGUCGGCCGCACUGGGACUGAGACACUGCCCAGACUCCUACGGGAGGCUGCAGUCGAGAAUCUUCCGCAAUGGGCGAAAGCCUGACGGAGCGACGCCGCGUGGAGGAUGAAGG